GGUUAAGCGACUAAGCGUACACGGUGGAUGCCCUGGCAGUCAGAGGCGAUGAAGGACGUGCUAAUCUGCGAUAAGCGUCGGUAAGGUGAUAUGAACCGUUAUAACCGGCGAUUUCCGAAUGGGGAAACCCAGUGUGAUUCGUCACACUAUCAUUAACUGAAUCCAUAGGUUAAUGAGGCGAACCGGGGGAACUGAAACAUCUAAGUACCCCGAGGAAAAGAAAUCAACCGAGAUUCCCCCAGUAGCGGCGAGCGAACGGGGAGGAGCCCAGAGCCUGAAUCAGUGUGUGUGUUAGUGGAAGCGUCUGGAAAGGCGCGCGAUACAGGGUGACAGCCCCGUACACAAAAAUGCACAUGCUGUGAGCUCGAUGAGUAGGGCGGGACACGUGGUAUCCUGUCUGAAUAUGGGGGGACCAUCCUCCAAGGCUAAAUACUCCUGACUGACCGAUAGUGAACCAGUACCGUGAGGGAAAGGCGAAAAGAACCCCGGCGAGGGGAGUGAAAAAGAACCUGAAACCGUGUACGUACAAGCAGUGGGAGCACGCUUAGGCGUGUGACUGCGUACCUUUUGUAUAAUGGGUCAGCGACUUAUAUUCUGUAGCAAGGUUAACCGAAUAGGGGAGCCGAAGGGAAACCGAGUCUUAACUGGGCGUUAAGUUGCAGGGUAUAGACCCGAAACCCGGUGAUCUAGCCAUGGGCAGGUUGAAGGUUGGGUAACACUAACUGGAGGACCGAACCGACUAAUGUUGAAAAAUUAGCGGAUGACUUGUGGCUGGGGGUGAAAGGCCAAUCAAACCGGGAGAUAGCUGGUUCUCCCCGAAAGCUAUUUAGGUAGCGCCUCGUGAAUUCAUCUCCGGGGGUAGAGCACUGUUUCGGCAAGGGGGUCAUCCCGACUUACCAACCCGAUGCAAACUGCGAAUACCGGAGAAUGUUAUCACGGGAGACACACGGCGGGUGCUAACGUCCGUCGUGAAGAGGGAAACAACCCAGACCGCCAGCUAAGGUCCCAAAGUCAUGGUUAAGUGGGAAACGAUGUGGGAAGGCCCAGACAGCCAGGAUGUUGGCUUAGAAGCAGCCAUCAUUUAAAGAAAGCGUAAUAGCUCACUGGUCGAGUCGGCCUGCGCGGAAGAUGUAACGGGGCUAAACCAUGCACCGAAGCUGCGGCAGCGACGCUUAUGCGUUGUUGGGUAGGGGAGCGUUCUGUAAGCCUGCGAAGGUGUGCUGUGAGGUAUGCUGGAGGUAUCAGAAGUGCGAAUGCUGACAUAAGUAACGAUAAAGCGGGUGAAAAGCCCGCUCGCCGGAAGACCAAGGGUUCCUGUCCAACGUUAAUCGGGGCAGGGUGAGUCGACCCCUAAGGCGAGGCCGAAAGGCGUAGUCGAUGGGAAACAGGUUAAUAUUCCUGUACUUGGUGUUACUGCGAAGGGGGGACGGAGAAGGCUAUGUUGGCCGGGCGACGGUUGUCCCGGUUUAAGCGUGUAGGCUGGUUUUCCAGGCAAAUCCGGAAAAUCAAGGCUGAGGCGUGAUGACGAGGCACUACGGUGCUGAAGCAACAAAUGCCCUGCUUCCAGGAAAAGCCUCUAAGCAUCAGGUAACAUCAAAUCGUACCCCAAACCGACACAGGUGGUCAGGUAGAGAAUACCAAGGCGCUUGAGAGAACUCGGGUGAAGGAACUAGGCAAAAUGGUGCCGUAACUUCGGGAGAAGGCACGCUGAUAUGUAGGUGAAGCGACUUGCUCGUGGAGCUGAAAUCAGUCGAAGAUACCAGCUGGCUGCAACUGUUUAUUAAAAACACAGCACUGUGCAAACACGAAAGUGGACGUAUACGGUGUGACGCCUGCCCGGUGCCGGAAGGUUAAUUGAUGGGGUUAGCGCAAGCGAAGCUCUUGAUCGAAGCCCCGGUAAACGGCGGCCGUAACUAUAACGGUCCUAAGGUAGCGAAAUUCCUUGUCGGGUAAGUUCCGACCUGCACGAAUGGCGUAAUGAUGGCCAGGCUGUCUCCACCCGAGACUCAGUGAAAUUGAACUCGCUGUGAAGAUGCAGUGUACCCGCGGCAAGACGGAAAGACCCCGUGAACCUUUACUAUAGCUUGACACUGAACAUUGAGCCUUGAUGUGUAGGAUAGGUGGGAGGCUUUGAAGUGUGGACGCCAGUCUGCAUGGAGCCGACCUUGAAAUACCACCCUUUAAUGUUUGAUGUUCUAACGUGGACCCGUAAUCCGGGUUGCGGACAGUGUCUGGUGGGUAGUUUGACUGGGGCGGUCUCCUCCUAAAGAGUAACGGAGGAGCACGAAGGUUGGCUAAUCCUGGUCGGACAUCAGGAGGUUAGUGCAAUGGCAUAAGCCAGCUUGACUGCGAGCGUGACGGCGCGAGCAGGUGCGAAAGCAGGUCAUAGUGAUCCGGUGGUUCUGAAUGGAAGGGCCAUCGCUCAACGGAUAAAAGGUACUCCGGGGAUAACAGGCUGAUACCGCCCAAGAGUUCAUAUCGACGGCGGUGUUUGGCACCUCGAUGUCGGCUCAUCACAUCCUGGGGCUGAAGUAGGUCCCAAGGGUAUGGCUGUUCGCCAUUUAAAGUGGUACGCGAGCUGGGUUUAGAACGUCGUGAGACAGUUCGGUCCCUAUCUGCCGUGGGCGCUGGAGAACUGAGGGGGGCUGCUCCUAGUACGAGAGGACCGGAGUGGACGCAUCACUGGUGUUCGGGUUGUCAUGCCAAUGGCACUGCCCGGUAGCUAAAUGCGGAAGAGAUAAGUGCUGAAAGCAUCUAAGCACGAAACUUGCCCCGAGAUGAGUUCUCCCUGACUCCUUGAGAGUCCUGAAGGAACGUUGAAGACGACGACGUUGAUAGGCCGGGUGUGUAAGCGCAGCGAUGCGUUGAGCUAACCGGUACUAAUGAACCGUGAGGCUUAACCUU
rnacentral:rRNA from 1 species